rnacentral:tRNA from 1 species
GCUAGUGUAGCUCAAUAGGUAGAGCAACGGCUUUGUAAGCCGUGGAUUGCGGGUUCAAUUCCUGCCACUAGCUCCA